rnacentral:rRNA from 1 species
CCAGACUCCUACGGGAGGCAGCAGUGGGGGAUAUUGGACAAUGGGGGAAACCCUGAUCCAGCGACGCCGCGUGAGUGAAGAAGUAUUUCGGUAUGUAAAGCUCUGUCAGCAGGGAAGAAAGAAAUGACGGUACCUGACCAAGAAGCCCCGGCUAACUACGUGCCAGCAGCCGCGGUAAUACGUAGGGGGCAAGCGUUAUCCGGAUUUACUGGGUGUAAAGGGAGCGUAGACGGCAGUGCAAGUCUGGAGUGAAAGGCGGGGGCUCAACCCUGGGACUGCUCUGGAAACUGUAAAGCUGGAGUGCGGGAGGGGCAGGCGGAAUUCCUGGUGUAGCGGUGAAAUGCGUAGAUAUCAGGAGGAACACCGGCGGCGAAGGCGGCCUGCUGGACCGUAACUGACGUUGAGGCUCGAAAGCGUGGGGAGCAAACAGGAUUAGAUACCCCAGUA